UGAGACACGGUCCAAACUCCUACGGGAGGCAGCAGUGAGGAAUAUUGGUCAAUGGACGAGAGUCUGAACCAGCCAAGUCGCGUGAGGGAAGACUGCCCUAUGGGUUGUAAACCUCUUUUAUAAGGGAAGAAUAAGUUCUACGUGUAGAAUGAUGCCUGUACCUUAUGAAUAAGCAUCGGCUAACUCCGUGCCAGCAGCCGCGGUAAUACGGAGGAUGCGAGCGUUAUCCGGAUUUAUUGGGUUUAAAGGGUGCGUAGGCGGUUUAUUAAGUUAGUGGUUAAAUAUUUGAGCUAAACUCAAUUGUGCCAUUAAUACUGGUAAACUGGAGUACAGACGAGGUAGGCGGAAUAAGUUAAGUAGCGGUGAAAUGCAUAGAUAUAACUUAGAACUCCGAUAGCGAAGGCAGCUUACCAGACUGUAACUGACGCUGAUGCACGAGAGCGUGGGUAGCGAACAGGAUUAGAUACCCUGGUAGUCCACGCCGUAAACGAUGCUCACUGGUUCUGUGCGAUAUAUUGUACGGGAUUAAGCGAAAGUAUUAAGUGAGCCACCUGGGGAGUACGUCGGCAACGAUGAAACUCAAAGGAAUUGACGGGGGCCCGCACAAGCGGAGGAACAUGUGGUUUAAUUCGAUGAUACGCGAGGAACCUUACCCGGGCUUGAAAGUUAGCGACGAUUCUGGAAACAGGAUUUCCCUUCGGGGCGCGAAACUAGGUGCUGCAUGGUUGUCGUCAGCUCGUGCCGUGAGGUGUCGGGUUAAGUCCCAUAACGAGCGCAACCCUUACCGUUAGUUGCUAGCAUGUAAUGAUGAGCACUCUAACGGGACUGCCACCGUAAGGUGAGAGGAAGGCGGGGAUGACGUCAAAUCAGCACGGCCCUUACACCCAGGGCUACACACGUGUUACAAUGGCCGGUACAGAGGGCCGCUACCAGGUGACUGGAUGCCAAUCUCAAAAGCCGGUCGUAGUUCGGAUUGGAGUCUGUAACCCGACUCCAUGAAGUUGGAUUCGCUAGUAAUCGCGCAUCAGCCAUGGCGCGGUGAAUACGUUCCCGGGCCUUGUACACACCGCCCGUCAAGCCAUGGAAGCUGGGGGUGCCUGAAGUUCGUGACCGCAAGGAGCGACCUAGGGCAAAACCGGUGACUGGGGCUAAGUCGUAACAAGGUAGCCGUACCGGAAGGUGCGGCUG
rnacentral:rRNA from 1 species